UUUUUCAAACCCUUUUACAAAAUGACUGAUCAAUACUGUGAGAACGAAAGUUCUUGCUUUAAACUAGAUAACAACUUUCAGCAGUGGAUGUCUAGGCUCGCACAUCGAUGAAGAACGCUGCGAACUGCGAUACGUAAUGCGAAUUGCAGAAUUCAGUGAGUCAUCGAAAUUUUGAACGCAUAUUGCACUUUCGGGUUAGACCUGGAAGUAUGUCUGUAUCAGUGUCCGUACAUCAAACUUGCCUCUCUUUUUUCUGUGUAGUCAGGAUUGGAGACGUGCAGAUGUGAAGUGUCUCGCGCACUUGCGUCUUCGGACGACAAGCUGUCGAGUCCUUUUAAAACGACACGAUCUUUCUAUUGUUUCUGUGAAGCGUAUUGCUCGAACGCGGUGAUUUUCGGAUCGCUCGCAGUCGUCGGCGACUUCGGUGAGAACAUAAAGGAGGAAACCUCAAUUCGCGGUAUGUUCGGCUUCGGCUCGACAAUGUUGCUUAUUGUGUGUGGAAUCUGUUUUCGCCUUGAGGUGUACUGAUGGUUGUGUGCUUGAACUGGGAGUUGGUGUGUAGUAGAGYGGUGCAGCAUGCAUGGUUACGCCUUUUAUAUAGAGAGAUGUCUAUUUGGGAAAGUUGUACUGUUUGGCAAGCAUCUUGCCGACUGUAUCUCAAUUGGACCUGAUAUCAGACAAGACUACCCGCU
rnacentral:rRNA from 1 species